CCCCGGAAAUAAGAGGCCCAGCCCAGCCCACAGCAGUUUUCCAGAUCUCGCUGGGUCUAAGAGGCCAACAAACUCCACCCCAUUCCCUUCUGGGCACCUCGUGGCCCAGGCGGGUUUGUUUAUGAAUCCACCGUCCUCCUCCCCCAGCCCGGCACUCGGGCCUCCAGGCCUCAAAUCACCUCUGCUUUUAUUUGCUAAAGGAUCUCCAAGCUCCAGAGACCAUCAGCAAGGGCCCUAAAAAGACAGGAAUGUGUAUGAUGAUUCAUUCGGCUUCUACAGACACCAUAGCAUGGGGAAAUUACUUUAGACUGCAUGUGUGAAAAACCUAGGCUUGCCAGGCAGCGAUGGCUCAGU